rnacentral:tRNA from 1 species
GGUCUGGUGGUGUAGUUGGUUAUCACGUCAGUCUAACAACUCGAGGCGACUCGUGCUGAGAACACUGAAGGUCUCCGGUUCAAGUCCGGGCUAGAUCA